UAGCUUUGCACGGGGAGCCUGGUGUUGCCAUGCUGAGAGGAAAGCCGCGAGCUUUCGACCCGCGAACCUGAUCCGGAUAAUGCCGGCGGAGGAAUCGCUGUCUACUAACACC
rnacentral:ncRNA from 2 species